UACGUAGGGGGCUAGCGUUGUCCGGAAUCAUUGGGCGUAAAGAGCGUGUAGGCGGCCCGGUAAGUCCGCUGUGAAAGUCCAGGCUCAACCCUGGGAUGCCGGUGGAUACUGUCGGGCUCGAGUCCGGAAGAGGCGAGUGGAAUUCCUGGUGUAGCGGUGAAAUGCGCAGAUAUCAGGAGGAACACCAAUGGCGAAGGCAGCUCGCUGGGACGUGACUGACGCUGAGACGCGAAAGCGUGGGGAGCAAACAGG
rnacentral:rRNA from 1 species